UUCUGGUUCAAGAUGUGGUGGAUGACACAAAGGAUGGGCUCCUAGGGCCGUGACGUCCCCUUGGAGACGCAGUUCCUCAUCGUCAAAGGGUCGUGGCUCACUGGCGAGCAUCCCGUCGUGUACACCAUCUUCCUCCCCAUACUGGAGGGCUCAUUCUGUGAUAUUCUUCAGUGAAACAUCGGCGAUGAGCUGGAGAUCUGCUAGGCCUAAAGUUUCUUCUCUUGAAGUACAUGGUAUAUUUGGGAGAGAUGAUGUUAUCAAGUCACUUAGAGGCCUCUAUGAAGUCUCAAAAAAUCUGAAGGAAAUUAGGUUCAAGGGUGGAGCUCUUUCUCUUGACAUGUGUUUUACAAGCCUUCAGUUGUGUAAAGAUGCUGCUGAAUCUGAAGAAGCGAAAAUGGCACUUUCUGCUGCAGCUAAGAAAUUUAAGGUUCCUUCUCUGAAAAUCUUAGGGAGAUUGCUGGACACUGUAAUGAAAGAAAGUGGGCUGGUCGCCGUGCAGAAGAUGCUGGAGAGAAGCUCUACAUGUGGGCUCUGAUAAAGAACAAAGAGAGACACUUUCUACACGAAGCAAGCUUUCUAUUGGUGUUGUGUGUCCAUACACUGCUCAAGUUAGAGCAAUACAGGAAAAGGUUGGGAAGGCCUGCAGGAGGAAUGAUUAUUUCUCAGUGAAAGUAAAAUCUGUGGAUGGUUUCCAAGGCGCGGAGGAAGAUAUAAUUAUCAUAUCAAUAGUCAGGAGUAAUGGAGCUGGUACAGUUGGGUUUCUAUCAAACUUACAGAGGACUAACGUGGCUCUAACAAGGGCCAAGCAUUGCUUAUGGAUUGUGGGGAAUGGAACCACUCUGUUCAACAGCAAUUCCGUUUGGCAAAAGAUUGUCAAGGACACAAGGGAUAGAGGUUGUUUUUUAAUGCCACUGAUGAGAAGGAGUUGCUGAAUGCAAUUUUCAAGCCUGCUGUUGAGUAUCCUCACGCGGACAAUUUAGCUGGCGAGGAGACAAGGCAACGAUUGAGUACCAGGAUGAGUUGAGAUGGGGAAAUUGUCUAUUCAAUGUCGCUGAGGCAAUAGUUACAAGAUCCUAGAAGAUAACUCGUGGCAGCUCUACUCUACAAUAAGGGUGAUAAAGAUGUCUCGCCCAAUGGAAGAUAUCAUAUUUAGACAUGAUCAAGGUAGCAAGAUGUUGACCCCAUGGGUCCUUUUGGUGGAAUAAUGAUAGAGUGCGGCACCAAUCAACCUAUUGAGAAAGUGCUUGCAGUUGAAGAUGCAGGUCUAAUGCUUGGAUUUUUUAACAUAGAUGCUGCAUAGCUUUAGCCUUAUUGAUGCUUGAGUUGCUACCACUGAAGAUCUUUUGAACUACAGUUUUCACAAGCACACAUUAUAUUUUUCCUUCAUAACGACUGAUGUAAGAAGGGCAGGCUUGGUGCAGUGGUGAGAGUUGUCUCACUGAGUCACCAGGCCAUGGGUUCGAAACAGCCUUAUGGGGGGUCUGCCCUUUGUUAUUCAUAACGACUAAUGUAGUUAUGUGUGUUGUC